rnacentral:rRNA from 1 species
UGGGGGAUAUUGCACAAUGGGCGAAAGCCUGAUGCAGCGACGCCGCGUGGGGGAUGAAGGCUUUCGGGUUGUAAACCUCUUUCGCUAUCGAACAAGGCCCGCUUAGGGUGGGUUGAGGGUAGGUGGAGAAGAAGCGCCGGCUAACUACGUGCCAGCAGCCGCGGUAAUACGUAGGGCGCGAGCGUUGUCCGGAAUUAUUGGGCGUAAAGGGCUUGUAGGCGGCUUGUUGCGCCUGCUGUGAAAACGCGGGGCUUAACUUCGCGCGUGCAGUGGGUACGGGCAGGCUUGAGUGUGGUAGGGGUGACUGGAAUUCCAGGAGUAGCGGUGGAAUGCGCAGAUAUCUGGAGGAACGCCGAUGGCGAAGGCAGGUCACUGGGCCAUUACUGACGCUGAGGAGCGAAAGCAUGGGUAGCGAACAGG